UAUUAGGUUGCUGCAAAAGUAACUGUGGGUUUUGCCAUUGAAAGUAAUAGCAAAACCUGCAAUUACUUUUGCAGCAACCUAAUG
rfam:Pan troglodytes isolate Yerkes chimp pedigree #C0471 (Clint) chromosome 4, whole genome shotgun sequence.